UACGGGGGGAGCAAGCGUUGUUCGGAUUUACUGGGCGUAAAGGGCGCGUAGGCGGCGUGGUAGUCACUUGUGAAAUCUCCGGGCUUAACUCGGAACGGUCAAGUGAUACUGUCGGACUAGAGUACAGAAGGGGCAACUGGAAUUCUCGGUGUAGCGGUGAAAUGCGUAGAUAUCGAGAGGAACACCUGCGGCGAAGGCGGGUUGCUGGGCUGAUACUGACGCUGAGGCGCGAAAGCCAGGGGAGCGAACGGG
rnacentral:rRNA from 1 species